CAAGACGAGUAGAGUGGCGAAAGGGCGAGUAAUGCAUGGGUAACGUACCCCAAGCCCAUGGAUAGCCGCGGGAAACUGCGGAUAAUACCUGACGAGACCACAGCUCCACCAGGAGCAGGUGUCAAAGGUGGGGACCUUCGGGCCUAUCGGCCUGGGAGCGGNCCAUGUCCUAUCAGCUUGUUGGUGAGGUAACGGCUCACCAAGGCGACGACGGGUAGCGGGACUGAGAGGUUGGCCCGCCGCACUGGGACUGAGACACUGCCCAGACUCCUACGGGAGGCUGCAGUAACGAAUCUUGUCCAAUGGGCGCAAGCCUGAGACAGCAAUGCCGCGUGCGGGACGAAGUCCUUCGGGAUGUAAACCGCUGUCAGGGGUUAGGAAGCAAUGAGGGCCAAUACCCCUCAACGUUGACCAGCCCCAGAGGAAGCCACGGCUAACUUCGUGCCAGCAGCCGCGGUAAUACGAAGGUGGCGAGCGUUAUUCGGAAUCACUGGGCUUAAAGAGCACGUAGGCGGACAGUCAAGCGUCUUGUGAAAUCCCUCGGAUUAACCGAAGGAACUGCUUGGCGAACUGGCUGUCUUGAGGCAAGUAAGGGCGCGUGGAAACUCUUGGUGGAGCGGUGGAAUGCGUAAGAUGUCAAGAGGAACGCCGGACUGUGAAGACGGCGCGCUGGGCUUGUCCUUGACGCUGAGGUGCGAAAGCCAUGGGAGCGAACGGGAUUAGAUACCCCGGUAGUCCUUGGCCUAAACGAUGUCCACUAGGUCGAUGGUACUAUGACGGAUUGUCGGACGAAACCAAAGCGUUAAAUGGACCGCCUGGGGAGUACGGUCGCAAGGCUAAACUCCCAAGGAGUUGACGGGGACUCACACAAGCGGUGGAGCAUGUUGCUUAAUUCGAUGCAACGCGAAGAACCUUAUCCUGGGCUUGACAUGUAUGGAUGCCUACCUGGAAACAGGAUCGGUUGCCCUUCGGGGUGAAACUUACACAGGUGCUGCAUGGCUGUCGUCAGCUCGUGUCGUGAGAUGUUGGGUUAAGUCCCGUAACGAGC
rnacentral:rRNA from 1 species